UACGGAGGGUGCGAGCGUUGUCCGGAAUCACUGGGCGUAAAGGGCGCGUAGGCGGCGCGGGUAGUCAUCGGUGAAAGUUCAGGGCUCAACUCUGAAUCGGCCGGUGAUACUCCCGUGCUCGAGCACUGUAGAGGCAGGUGGAAUUCCGGGUGUAGCGGUGGAAUGCGUAGAGAUCCGGAAGAACACCAGUGGCGAAGGCGGUGAGCUGGGCAGUUGCUGACACUGAUGCGCGACAGCGUGGGGAGCAAACAGG
rnacentral:rRNA from 1 species